UCCCUGGUGGCUCAGAAGGUAAAGAAUCUGCCUGCAAUGCAGUAAACCUGGGUUUGAUCCCCAGCUUGGGAA
rnacentral:tRNA from 1 species